AUCAUUACACCGGGGAUGAACAACUUUUGUCACGUGACCGCAAAAGUCAACGCCGGUUGCAGAAACAGAUUGUAAUCUUGUACAUUAAGAAACAUGACGCUCGUGUGUGAAAUCUGUGGAAAGACAUUUAAAUCGAAGUGGGGGUUAAAGCUUCAUGAUAAGCGCCACAGAGGGACUGGACGAUUCGCCUGUUGUGGAAAAACAUUUUACACAAAACAGGCGUUCAACAGACACAGAUGCAGCAUUCAUGGUGUUGAAAAGCCGUUCCCCUGUGAACAAUGCGGCAAAAAGUUUUCAACCAAAGAUGACCUGAAUCGUCACGUCCGGAGGGAGGUUGCUGCAAAGCAAUUUACCUGCUCAAUUUGCAAUGCAACGCUCCGGGAGAAAAUUGACCUUCAGGCCCACCUUGCCACCCACAAUGGAGAGAAAAACUUUGCUUGUGAUAUGUGUGAAAAGAGGUACAGGCACCGCAGUAGUCUAUCAAAGCACAGAUCUGCAAAGCACCGGGCCUAGUCAUCUGUUGCAUGACGAUGAUAAGACCAAGAAUUAUUUUUAAUUCUUACCAAUGUGCCGUGGUUAUUUUCUUAAUUAUUGAAAAUACAGACUGUCAUACAAUAAUAUAUAGUAUUACGCGUGUUUUUGCGUCUUAAACAUUGUGUUUCAUAUCGUUUAUCUUGUGUUGUUUUGUUUGAUAUUCCUGUUUUUAAUAAGAUUAUUGUUGUAAUAUUUAUCAUUCUAAUUUAAAAUGAUUAUGAUAAUGGUUGAUCUCAUACAAAUUAUUGUGUUCAUUAUUGCUCAUCUGUGAUUACUGUUGAUCUCAGCCCAUGAAUUGUGAUUUAUAUUGAUUAUCUGUGAUUAUUGUUGAUCUUAUCAAAAUAAUUGUAAUUUAUGUUGAUUAUCUUUGAAUUUUUUAUCUUAACCUAUUAAUAGUGAUUUAUAUUAUCUGUGAUUAUUGUUGAUCUUAUCAAAAUCAUUGUGAUUUAUGUUGAUUAUCUGUGAUUAUUGUUGAUCUCAACCGAUUAAUUGUGAUUUAUAUAACCAGUGAUUAUUGUUGAUCUUAUCAAAAUCAUUGUAAUUUAUGUUGAUUAUCUGUGAUUAUUGUUGAUCUUUUCGAAAUCAUUGUAAUUUAUGUUGAUUAUCUGUGAUUAUUGUUGAUCUUUUCGAAAUCAUUGUAAUUUAUGUUGAUUAUCUGUGAUUAUUGUUGAUCUUUUCAAAAUCAUUGUAAUUUAUGUUGAUUAUCUGUGAUUAUUGUUGAUCUCACCAUAUCCGCUGGAAUAUACAUUUGAGCCGCGCUCUGUGAAAAGGGGGUUUAAUGCAUGUGCGUAAAGUGCAGUCCACAUAGGCUAAUCAGGGACGGCACUUUCCGCUUUUAUGAUAUGUUUUGUUAAAAGAAAGUCUCUUCUGAGCAAAAAUCGAGUUUAUCGGAAAGGUUUGUCCCUAAUUAGCCUGUACGGAAUGCACAGGCUAAUAUGUGACGACACCUUACGCACAUGCAUUAAACCCCCUUUUCACAGAGCGAGACUCAUUUGUAAUCUGCGAUUUUUGUUUAUCUAUUUCGAAUCAAUAUGAUUAAAAUAUAUUUUUGGUGAGUUAGCUUUUUGUCUCAUUGGAAUCAUUGUGCGAAUUGUCAACAAUUACAUGUAAAUCUGUAAUUCCUUCUCAAGUUGCACAUAGGCCAGUUUAAUGUUUUGCGUAUAAGCUAUUAUUGCGAUACGGGAUAUUCUUUGCAGCAAUAAAACAAUUAAUCUGCA